UUAUGGGUGGCGAGUGGCGGACGGGUGAGGAAUACAUCGGAAUCUACUUUUUCGUGGGGGAUAACGUAGGGAAACUUACGCUAAUACCGCAUACGACCUACGGGUGAAAGCAGGGGAUCUUCGGACCUUGCGCGAUUGAAUGAGCCGAUGUCGGAUUAGCUAGUUGGCGGGGUAAAGGCCCACCAAGGCGACGAUCCGUAGCUGGUCUGAGAGGAUGAUCAGCCACACUGGAACUGAGACACGGUCCAGACUCCUACGGGAGGCAGCAGUGGGGAAUAUUGGACAAUGGGCGCAAGCCUGAUCCAGCCAUACCGCGUGGGUGAAGAAGGCCUUCGGGUUGUAAAGCCCUUUUGUUGGGAAAGAAAUCCAGCCGGCUAAUACCUGGUUGGGAUGACGGUACCCAAAGAAUAAGCACCGGCUAACUUCGUGCCAGCAGCCGCGGUAAUACGAAGGGUGCAAGCGUUACUCGGAAUUACUGUGCGUAAAGCGUGCGUAGGUGGUUGUUUAAGUCUGUUGUGAAAGCCCUGGGCUCAACCUGGGAACUGCAGUGGAAACUGGACAACUAGAGUGUGGUAGAGGGUAGGGGAAUUCCCGGUGUAGCAGUGAAAUGCGUAGAGAUCGGGAGGAACAUCCAUGGCGAAGGCAGCUACCUGGACCAACACUGACACUGAGGCACGAAAGCGUGGAGAGCAAACAGGAU
rnacentral:rRNA from 1 species